GUAUCCUGGCUCAGGAUGAACGCUAGCUACAGGCUUAACACAUGCAAGUCGAGGGCAGCAUGGUCUUAGCUUGCUAAGGCUGAUGGCGACCGGCGCACGGGUGAGUAACACGUAUCCAACCUGCCGUCUACUCUUGGCCAGCCUUCUGAAAGGAAGAUUAAUCCAGGAUGGCAUCAUGAGUUCACAUGUCCGCAUGAUUAAAGGUAUUUUCCGGUAGACGAUGGGGA
rnacentral:rRNA from 1 species